UCAAGAUGACCGAGGCAAGAAUCAUGGCCAUGAGUUCCUUCAAGUUGGAUCCGAAGCUAGUUUGUAGCUGAUAAAACUGUAAUAAAUUCUCAUCAACUAUAGAAAUUUUACUAACUUCAGGUCUCUGUUUUAUUGGUAGAAAUGUUGCAACCUUUGCCAAGAACUCUGUGGCAGAAGUUAUGGAUAAAUCGGCGAUGCUUGCACUUGAGGAGGAAAGU